rnacentral:rRNA from 1 species
CCUACGGGUGGCAGCAGUGGGGAAUAUUGGACAAUGGGCGAAAGCCUGAUCCAGCCAUGCCGCGUGUGUGAAGAAGGCCUUCGGGUUGUAAAGCACUUUCAGUGGGGAAGAAAGCCUUGGGGCUAAUACCCUCGAGGAAGGACAUCACCCACAGAAGAAGCACCGGCUAACUCCGUGCCAGCAGCCGCGGUAAUACGGAGGGUGUGAGCGUUAAUCGGAAUUACUGGGCGUAAAGCGCGCGUAGGCGGUCUGAUAAGCCGGUUGUGAAAGCCCCGGGCUCAACCUGGGAACGGCAUCCGGAACUGUCAGGCUAGAGUGCAGGAGAGGAAGGUAGAAUUCCCGGUGUAGCGGUGAAAUGCGUAGAGAUCGGGAGGAAUACCAGUGGCGAAGGCGGCCUUCUGGACUGACACUGACGCUGAGGUGCGAAAGCGUGGGUAGCCAACAGGAUUAGAUACCCCUGUAGUC